GACGAACGCUGGCGGCGUGCUUAACACAUGCAAGUCGAACGGAAAGGCCCUGCUUUUGUGGGGUGCUCGAGUGGCGAACGGGUGAGUAACACGUGAGUAACCUGCCCUUGACUUUGGGAUAACUUCAGGAAACUGGGGCUAAUACCGGAUAGGAGCUCCUGCUGCAUGGUGGGGGUUGGAAAGUUUCGGCGGUUGGGGAUGGACUCGCGGCUUAUCAGCUUGUUGGUGGGGUAGUGGCUUACCAAGGCUUUGACGGGUAGCCGGCCUGAGAGGGUGACCGGCCACAUUGGGACUGAGAUACGGCCCAGACUCCUACGGGACGCAGCAGUGGGGAAUAUUGCACAAUGGGCGGAAGCCUGAUGCAGCAACGCCGCGUGCGGGAUGAUGGCCUUCGGGUUGUAAACCGCUUUCGCCGGUGACGAAGAGUGAGUGACGGUAAUUGGUAAAGAAGCACCGGCUAACUACGUG
rnacentral:rRNA from 1 species